GCAAGUCGAGGGGUAACAGGGAGCUUGCUCUGCUGACGACCGGCGCACGGGUGCGUAACGCGUAUACAAUCUACCUUGUACUAGGGGAUAGCCUUUAGAAAUGAAGAUUAAUACCCUAUAGUCUAUUGAGAUGGCAUCAUUUUAAUAGUAAAGGUUACGGUACAAGAUGAGUAUGCGUCCUAUUAGUUUGUUGGUGUGGUAACGGCACACCAAGACUACGAUCAGUAGGGGUUCUGAGAGGAUUAUC
rnacentral:rRNA from 1 species